GACGAAAGGACCCGGCCUCUCUCUCUCUGAGAGUUCGUAGCUGUGGGCGGUGUGGGUGAAGAUUUGCAGCGGGCUGCUUCCCCGGGCCCUCGGAUCUUGGAGAAUGGAGGGAUUUUCUAUAAAUGCGGAGUUGAAUCAUGAAAUUAAAGAACGCCACAUCCGAGCCCGUACACGUCCUCCGUGACCUCAUUUCCUACCACUCGGCCGUCCGUCACCCACACUUACCCUUUCUGUCUCUGGAACGUGCUCCGUCUGCUGUCACCUCCAGGUCUCACCACCAGCUCUUCCUUCCACCUGCGACACUCUACCCCAGCUAACCGCGAAUCUGCUGUAACCUGUGAUCUACUUGGCGCUCUGCUCCAAGGUCACCUUCCCCCGUGGCCUUCCCUAGUAACCCCGUGUAAACUUGACUGCCACCCCCUACCUCCCGCCUGCGUCUGCUCCUCUUCACAGUACUUAGCAUAGUCCGACAGAAUAUAUAUCUCGUCGAUGACCUGUUUGCUGUCUGUUUCGCCUGGUUUGGUCACUUCUCUAGAUCUGUCAUGUAAAUUGCAACCCACAUAUAGGAAGCACUCAGUAAAUUUUCGUUGAAUGAAUUCAUAAAUCCAAUCCACCCCUUCGUUACCACAGAGAAGCAAAACACAUCCAAAGAGAUGUCUCGAUCUGCCCCCUCCCCCCACCCGAUAUUUUAUUUUAAAAACAACCAGGGCAGGUAAUUUCAUGUUUCACUUCAGUAUUUUCUCUUUGCUAUUAUAAAAUUCUGCAUAGAAAAAAAAAAUCUUA